rnacentral:rRNA from 1 species
GAAUUUUAUAUAAAUUUAUUAGAAAAUAUUAAUUAAAGAUUUGUUAAGUUUAUAUUUUAUUGGGAGGAUAAGUAAAUUUUAAAAACUUUAAAUAUAAUGAGAUCAUUAAUUUAUGAUGUAAAAAAUUAAAGAGAGUGACUUGUGCUAAGUUUAAUAAGAAUUAAUUACCUUAGGGAUAACAGCAUAAUAUUUUUAGAAAGAUCUUAUUAAUAAAAAUGAUUGU